rnacentral:rRNA from 1 species
GUAGGUGGCAAGCGUUGUCCGGAAUUAUUGGGCGUAAAGCGCGCGCAGGCGGUCCUUUAAGUCUGAUGUGAAAGCCCACGGCUCAACCGUGGAGGGUCAUUGGAAACUGGGGGACUUGAGUGCAGAAGAGGAGAGUGGAAUUCCACGUGUAGCGGUGAAAUGCGUAGAGAUGUGGAGGAACACCAGUGGCGAAGGCGACUCUCUGGUCUGUAACUGACGCUGAGGCGCGAAAGCGUGGGGGGAGCGAACAGGAUUAGAUACCCUGGUAGUCCACGCCGUAAACGAUGAGUGCUAAGUGUUAGAGGGUUUCCCGCCCUUUAGUGCUGCAGCUAACGCAUUAAGCACUCCGCCUGGGGAGUACGGUCGCAAGACUG